UUAAAAAUACUGAUGUGCUACUCUACUCCGCCCAUACACAGACGCUGCAGAAAUUUCAAUUUUCUGCAGAAACUGGCUGAUACUACCAAGAUUUCAUAAAUUGCAACAACGAUCGUGACCAUAUGAUGUUUACUUCUAGAAAAGCAGACAAAGAGUUUCUUUGUCUCUGUCUUCGUGGUAUGUGAGGUGUACACCGAAGAAAUUCCAUCGAAAGCAUGAAUCCUUUGUUGGAGGACCUCCAAGAGGACGCUUUGCGGUGAAAGGCGUCUCAUAUGGAGAAGUCUUUUACUCACCAUCAACAAAGACCGUGUCAAUAAAUGAGUACCUCAGCAGUAGAGCCAGUGGCACCAUUAAGGACAAGAUAAGAAGAUCGCUUGAGAUGUUUUAAUCAUACUUAAAGUUGACCAACGGAUGCACUGGUGGAGAAGAGUCAUCAAAUUGAGAAAUUUGAGGCAGUGGGAGGGGGUAAUUAAAAUUAUGGAGGGUGCAGUGAUAGCAAUAUUAUCACAUUAACUUGCAGAAAGUCUAGCCCUUGACAGAAUCCAUUGGAGGAGGCAGAAAAUUUGAGGUUUUCACCAGUCUACUUUGGACCUCUUGUAAGCAUAUACCUGAAUUGGAAGAUGAUACAACGUUUCGUCCCCUCCAACUAUGCUGAGAGGACUUGGUGCUCCAUGUGCUUCAAUUACAAGAGGGUGUGACAUAUGACCUUUAUAAUUCUGAAGACUUUUCCAGUCUGCUUGGAACUUCCAAAGCAUAUACCUGAAAGGAUGAUGAUUCAGAGUCCCCUGGCACCAACUUCGGUGAGAGAACUUGGAUCAGACACGGCAAAUAUUCUGGGGCAGAAACAGGAACUUUUAAUUCUUCAAGAAUUCUGUCGGCAGGUAGGGAAGUACCAAUAUCAACCCGAGUGUUGGUCUCUUCUUCAAGAGGUAAUAUUUUAUAGGCCAUUGCCCUGUAGAACUUUGUAAAUACUAACGUUGAAUCUCUUUUUUCUUCCCUGGAUGGUUAUGAAAUAUCUACUUGAUCAAAUUGUUAGGUCAAGAGUGGUCGAAGCAGCUGCUUUUGUGCAUGUUGAUAAUGCUAUUUUCAUGCGCCAGCAUAAAAAAUUCAGAAUGAUGAAAUUGUGAGUCUUUCUUUUUUGGACUCCUGUUCAGUUGAAAAUUAGAUAACAUGACAAGGAAGGGUUCUUCUAACUUCUACUCUCCUGUACACCACAGCAAUUUCCAUGAAAUUCCUUAGCACUGGAAGAGUUUAGAGAAAAAAUACUGCCUGCAAUUUUAGUCGUGAAUUUGGACAUCCUAUGCUGACUAUCAAUCCAGUAUUUUCAAGCCGACUUAAAAUAGCAAAGAAUACCAACCGAGUGAGGAGACAAGUAGCCGAAAAGAGCCAAAAAUGCCAAAUCAUUAGGAUACCAUUCUCUGGUUUCGUGGUCCCACUCUCUUGAGCAUCUCCUCAUUUUUCUCAUCCGUGACCCGCAAGAAUUAAUAUAACUCAGUCAAACCAAAUAGCAAGUGAGACAUUAAUUAUAAUUGAAUUUUACUGUUUGUAUUUUUUUAAUUCAUAUAUAAGUAUAUGAUCUACUUGUAUUUUUUUUUAA